GCGGGUGUGGCGGAACUGGCAGACGCGUCAGACUUAGGAUCUGGUGCCGCAAGGCGUGGGGGUUCGAGUCCCUUCACCCGCA
rnacentral:tRNA from 1 species